rnacentral:rRNA from 1 species
UACGUAGGUGGCGAGCGUUGUCCGGAUUUACUGGGCGUAAAGGGAGCGUAGGCGGACUUUUAAGUGAGAUGUGAAAUACCCGGGCUCAACUUGGGUGCUGCAUUUCAAACUGGAAGUCUAGAGUGCAGGAGAGGAGAAUGGAAUUCCUAGUGUAGCGGUGAAAUGCGUAGAGAUUAGGAAGAACACCAGUGGCGAAGGCGGGUAACUGGACUGCAACUGACGCUGAGGCGCGAAAGUGUGGGGAGCAAACAGGAUUAGAUACCCCCGUAGU